AAAAAGACAAACCCUGGUUUCCGUGUCCAACGUUUGACCGUUCGUCUUAUUUGAAUUUUUUUUAAAAAAAAUUAAAAAGACAAGUCACGCAUAAAAUAUUAAUCAUGUUUUAUCAUCUAACAACAAUAAAAAUAUAAAUUAUAAAAAUAUUUCAUAUAAGACGGACAGUCAAAGUUGGACACGCAAACCCAGGGUUUGCUUUUUC
rnacentral:pre_miRNA from 1 species